CUGUGUGUCCACCGUGGAUCCUAAUAUCCAGGGAGGGAAAUUACUCCCCAAGACGUGGGGGGUGUCCACCCCACCUGUCACAUUGUUUCCUGUACCCAGGGAGGAGAGGAUUAUAUCGCUACCAAUAUCAAAGAAGUGUACACGUCCCCUGUGAUAUGGUUCCUAAUAUCUUCGUUGGGAGAGGAUGAUAUUACUCUCAAUAUCACAGGGGUUGUCCAUCCCGCCUGAGAUAUUGUUCCUACUAUCCAGAAUAAGAGAGAAUGAUAUUACUUCCAAUAGUGCACGGCGUGUCCCCCGCCAUGUGAUAUUGUUCUCAAGAGCUAAAGGAAGAGAAGAGAAUAGUAUUCUUUGUACUGCCGGGGGUGUACAACCAACUGCGAUAUUGUGAGGCACCCCUUGUGAAAACAAGAAAGACUGGAAUUUGAUGAGACUCCAGUACCACCUGGGCAGCUCUGCCUUCCCCACAGUCUCUCCAGCUCCCUUUUCUGUCCCGUGGGUGUAGGAGAACAGCUCUCCGCAGCAGGGUCCCACCCAGGGCUUCAGAGGACUUGAUGGAUUCACUCUUUCCUUCUGUUAGCAACACCAGGCACGGCUCUCUGCUGCGGAUACUAACAAAACAUUUUCUCUGUUUAAUUUCUGAAAGGAAUUUCUCUGGGAUUUCCUGAACCAUCAGGAGGGUCCCCGCAUAAGAGAUCAUUUAAGCCACGGGGAGAUCAACUUACAUGAAUUUUCAAAAGAAACAACUAAUCAGUUGCUUGCAUUUUCUGUUGUACUGUUACUCAGAUCUGUUGAUGAAGGUCUACUAUCAGUUUUUAAGCUGCAAAAAAUUGUUUGAAGAAAGAUAAUGAGAAAUGGGGACUCUAAUUGGCCUACAGUUCGAUAGAAGAAAACUAAGUCUACCCAAACACGAUAGUAGCCACUGUUUUCUCUAAACUAGGAAAAAGCAGCAGUAGAAUUGUUGAUUAGUCUUGCAGAAGGCUAUAGUUCUCGCUGCCAUCCGGUUUUUCAGCCUAAA